rnacentral:rRNA from 1 species
GACGAACGCGGCGGCGCGCCUAAUACAUGCAAGUCGAACGCUUCUUUUUCACCGAACUUCGGUUCAUCGAAAAAGAGGAGUGGCGAACGGGUGAGUAACACGUGGGUAACCUGCCCAUCAGAAGGGGAUAACACUUGGAAACAGGUGCUAACACCGUAUAAUGCUUUUUCUCGCAUGAGAGCAAGCUGAAAGGCGCUUUGCGUCACUGAUGGAUGGACCCGCGGUGCAUUAGCUAGUUGGUGAGGUAACGGCUCACCAAGGCCACGAUGCAUAGCCGACCUGAGAGGGUGAUCGGCCACACUGGGACUGAGACACGGCCCAGACUCCUACGGGAGGCAGCAGUAGGGAAUCUUCGGCAAUGGACGAAAGUCUGACCGAGCAACGCCGCGUGAGUGAAGAAGGUUUUCGGAUCGUAAAACUCUGUUGUUAGAGAAGAACAAGGAUGAGAGUAAAAUGUUCAUCCCUUGA